rnacentral:lncRNA from 1 species
CUUCAGUGUGCUCAUUAGGUGGGAGCUGAGUACACUGCACAGGCCCCUCGUUUGCAUUCCUAGAAGCCCCCUCAAGGCUGGACAUGCUUCGGUAAGUUCUGAGCUGCAAAAAGUGCUUUUCUCAGAGGCUGCAUCCCACAGGGGCCUAAUAAACAGAUAAAAUACAUCUGCAAUUAGUGGCAUCUCUGCUCUCAAAGACUUAAUUCUCUAAAGGCUGUUCAUUUAUUCUCUUGCAGCAUUCAAAUCUGCACCACAACCUGUUUGGACCAGACCUUGGCUUAGAGAACCCUCACUUCUGUCCAAUGGAGAGGACAGUACAAUAAUGUAGAAGAGACAAAAGAAUCCAGCUGCGUGUAUUGUACAGACAAAUCUUAAAAGCUUUCAGAUAAAAAGAGAGUUGUUAAAAGAUUUUGGAAGUAUUGACUUAUAGAAAUUUGGGCCACUCGAUUCUGAAUUUGCAGGGUUCCUAUUAAUGCAUUCAUUUUGUUCUGUUUUUGUGCUCUUUAAUUCAGUAAUUCUGUAAUUCUGCUCAGGUACAGAGAGUGUGGAGUCAGGUUGUAACCUCCACUAUCCCUUCUCCCCCUAUUUGCGGCAGGGUGCCAAGUACCCUGGAUUUGGGAUUUGGCCUGGGAAGACUGGCAUUGAACCCUGGUUGCAGUGCUUUACUGGUCCAAUGAUCAAGUGGUCUCUCAUUCACCAAAUGUUUGUUGGAUGCCAGGCACUGGGUAGGUAGGUGUUAGAAAGAAAGACAAAAAUAAAUAAAACACAAUUUCCUCCCUUCUCUGUUUUGUUGU